rnacentral:rRNA from 1 species
GACAGAGGGUGCAAGCGUUAUUCGGAAUUACUGGGCGUAAAGGGCUCGUAGGCGGUUGACUAAGACAGAUGUGAAAGCCCCUGGCUUAACCUAGGAAUGGCAUUUGGGACUAAUUGACUUGAGUGUGGGAGAGGGAAGUAGAAUUUCUGGUGUAGAGGUGAAAUGCGUAGAUAUCGGAAGGAAUACCGGUGGCGAAGGCGGCUUCCUGGACCAGAACUGACGCUGAGGCGCGAAAGCGUUGGGAGCAAACAGG